CAAGGGGUUCCCAAUUGAAUAUUCAUCAUGGUCAACAGAGGGUUUUCUUUGGUUUUACAUAAUGAGUGUGAAUGGUCCUAACCCAGACUAUUUAGUAGAAAAAAGCACAUGGCACUUAGAGGACUAAGCGCAGCCAAAACUUCUUUCAUGAUGUCCGGACUCCCUGGAACUUCAUGGUUUAGAGACCACAGAACUCAAGGCAGACCCAUUUACAGAGCAAUCACCACUCCAGCCAGCCAUUCUGGCCCUUCCAGCACCCAAGGCUGAAGAUAACUGAGAUCCAUGGAUUAGUACUGUCUUUUAUGGAGUAAAAUGAAAGAAAUCCAAAUUGUCCUUUCAUUUCAUUUGAGGAAUUAAAAAACCCUGUCAUUUAUUUGGGAGCCUAUGUCUCUAUUGCACAAUGAAUAAUUGAGUGAGAUUGUUAUUAUAAGACAACAGUUAUCUGAAUUAUUUUAAUGGAUUAGUAUGGAACACAAAGCUACUAAACAAACUAAUUUGAUUAUUUUCCCAAUUUCUGUGAUCUAUAUGGGCAUAGUUAUUGAAUUAGACUGUGCUUUCUAUUAUAAAAAUGAAUUAUUUUAAAAUGCAAUAAAGCACUCAAAUAAUCUAAGUGAAAUUCAAAUAACUUUAGAAAGAAUACACUGUGAUUGUUUGAAGUCAUGUGUUCAUUCACUCAAUAAUAUAUGAAAUUUCUGGGAAAAGUGAAGCCCAAUAAAGCCAAACUGCAUGCUGAGGAUCAUAAGGUUGAUUCGAAUCAGCAUCAGAACCCACGAUUAUCUCUGACUUAGAUCACUUCAUAGUACCUGAGCCCCAUCAGGAAGUUCCUGAAUAUAAAUGUUUUCAUUCUAUUAACUCAUUAGAAGAGCUUUAAAUGCCUUCAGAAAACUGCUACCAU
rnacentral:lncRNA from 1 species